rnacentral:rRNA from 1 species
AGCGAACGCUGGCGGCAGGCCUAACACAUGCAAGUCGAACGAAGUCUUCGGACUUAGUGGCGGACGGGUGAGUAACACGUGGGAACGUGCCUUUAGGUUCGGAAUAACUCAGGGAAACUUGUGCUAAUACCGAAUGUGCCCUUCGGGGGAAAGAUUUAUCGCCUUUAGAGCGGCCCGCGUCUGAUUAGCUAGUUGGUGAGGUAAAGGCUCACCAAGGCGACGAUCAGUAGCUGGUCUGAGAGGAUGAUCAGCCACAUUGGGACUGAGACACGGCCCAAACUCCUACGGGAGGCAGCAGUGGGGAAUCUUGCGCAAUGGGCGAAAGCCUGACGCAGCCAUGCCGCGUGGGUGAAGAAGGCCUUAGGGUUGUAAACCCCUUUCAGCGGGGAAGAUAAUGACGGUACCCGCAGAAGAAGUCCCGGCUAACUCCGUGCCAGCAGCCGCCGUAAUAC